GACGAACGCUGGCGGCGUGCUUAACACAUGCAAGUCGAACGGAAAGGCCCUGCUUUUGUGGGGUGCUCGAGUGGCGAACGGGUGAGUAACACGUGAGUAACCUGCCCUUGACUUUGGGAUAACUUCAGGAAACUGGGGCUAAUACCGGAUAGGAGCUCCUGCUGCAUGGUGGGGGUUGGAAAGUUUCGGCGGUUGGGGAUGGACUCGCGGCUUAUCCGCUUGUUGGUGGGGUAGUGGCUUACCAAGGCUUUGACGGGUAGCCGGCCUGAGAGGGUGACCGGCCACAUUGGGACUGAGGUACGGCCCAGACUCCUACGGGAGGCAGCAGUGGGGAAUAUUGCACAAUGGGCGGAAGCCUGAUGCAGCAACGCCGCGUGCGGGAUGACGGCCUUCGGGUUGUAAACCGCUUUCGCCUGUGACGAAGAGUGAGUGACGGUAAUGGGUAAAGAAGCACCGGCUAACUACGUG
rnacentral:rRNA from 1 species